CUCCUCUUGAGGAUGGAUUUCAGCAGGAGUGGAAAGGACAGUGAGCUGCCCAUGACCUAGAAAUUCUGUCUGGCUUACUCACCAUCAUUUAGAGUGAAUUUGCUUAAUUUGCUACAGGAAAAUGAAGUUAUACAUGUGAAACAAACAGCCUUGAUUGGAAGGCCCUUAAACAGGUGCCUCUCCAGAGAGACAGGUAAGUCUCAACCAGUAAAGGCCCUGUGUGGAAAAGGGAAGACAUGGAUAUUUCGGAUUGUUUGGGAACUGACCUUCUUGAAGACUGUUGCAAGGAACGUAUUAGACAUCUUCCAGAGUGGAGUACCCAAUGGACCUUUUAGGUUGACAGCGGCUGUUGACGCACAGACUCACGCCCAAGGACAUUGUGGUCAUUCUGUAUAAUGGACACAGGAGAUGAGAUCUCCAAUCUCAUAACCAGAAGAGAGACCUGGAAUUUCCAUGGAGCUAGAGGACACUCAGAAUAAAGGUCACCAAUAUUCAGAUGGCCAGGAUUGCCUUGGUGCACUACGGGCCAGCAGAGGAGUUUCUUCAUGAACACGAGAAAUGUGUCUGUUCCCCGCAGAGGCACUUCCGGGGGCUGACCUGCCACCGGGGCUCAUCCGGGCCUUUGAAGCCCGCGGCCCUCGGGCCAUUACGUCUUGCCCAGCAGCCUGGGAAAUGCGUGUUGCUCCAAGGAUGACACGCUCCUGAGCGUGUCACAGAGGGCAGUGGACCCCCGAGGGACCAAGAGAAGCAUUCAGACCUCCCUGUGCCGUUUGGGAUCCCAAGGAGAACACAAGAGUUUCAAAUAGAAACAUCAAAUAAAAGGGACACGGCUUCGGUGUCAAGAAAUGAGGAUUGCGGCAGCUAAACGUUGCCAUCAGCACAUCUGCCUUCCAGGAGGUCCCCCGGGGGUUGCAGUGAUGACCCUGGGUCUCAGGGACUCUCAGUGUGCCUCUGUCAGAGGUGCAGAGGGCCCUUCUUUUUCCUUCUUCAGCAUCAUAGAUGCUGACUGAGGGCUUAAGCAUGCUAUUUGUGUGGGAAGCUCAAGUUUGGGAAUUUCUUCUUUAGAUUUACAUAAGCCCAAAUUUUAAUAGACAUCAGUUACUGGGAUCACGAGUUGGGCAAAAAGCUGAUGAAGUUUAGUAUCCAAAUAAAAGAAAUGUCCAUUUAAGCACAUUUUUGUAAUUCCCUAUGUAA